GCGUCGGUGGUUUAGUGGUAAAAUCUGUCGUUGCCAUCGACAGGCCCCGGGUUCGAUUCCCGGCCGACGCA
rfam:Ophiostoma piceae TAMH 11346 chromosome Tnknown scf10, whole genome shotgun sequence.